CUAAGUCGUAUUAAGUCUUGUUCACUAAUCUGGACAUUUUUGUCAAUGCGUACAUCUCUAUAAAGUGGGUUAUUUCUAGUUAACCAUCUUAAAGCGCUGUAGAAUUUUUCGCGAGAUAUUGUGAACUCUCUUGUGAUGUUCAAAUUCUCCAAACGUUCUGUAACUACAACGAUACCCACCUGGCUGGAAGAUCUUGGAAGCAUAUUAGAUCAAUCUGACAACGGGAAGGUGCUUAAAUUUCAAUUUCUAAUUUUGACCCAAAUAAAUAAAAAACAAAUUCCG